rnacentral:rRNA from 1 species
CCCGCAACGAGCGCAACCCCUGUCCUUAGUUGCCAUCAUUUAGUUGGGCACUCUAAGGAGACUGCCGGUGACAAACCGGAGGAAGGUGGGGAUGACGUCAAGUCAUCAUGGCCCUUAUGGCCAGGGCUACACACGUGCUACAAUGGGCAGUACAAAGGGUUGCCAACUCGCGAGAGUGCGCUAAUCCCAUAAAGCUGUUCGUAGUCCGGAUCGCAGUCUGCAACUCGACUGCGUGAAGUCGGAAUCGCUAGUAAUCGCGGAUCAGAAUGCCGCGGUGAAUACGUUCCCGGGCCUUGUACACACCGCCCGUCACACCAUGGGAGUUGGCUGCAAAAGAAGUAGGUAGACUAACCUUCGGGAGGUCGCUUACCACUUUGUGGUCAAUGACUGGGGUGAAGUCGUAACAAGGUAGCCGUAAAUCG